rnacentral:rRNA from 1 species
ACGAGUUAUCUGAACCUUCGGGGGACGAUAACGGCGUCGAGCGGCGGACGGGUGAGUAAUGCCUAGGAAAUUGCCCUGAUGUGGGGGAUAACCAUUGGAAACGAUGGCUAAUACCGCAUGAUGCCUACGGGCCAAAGAGGGGGACCUUCGGGCCUCUCGCGUCAGGAUAUGCCUAGGUGGGAUUAGCUAGUUGGUGAGGUAAGGGCUCACCAAGGCGACGAUCCCUAGCUGGUCUGAGAGGAUGAUCAGCCACACUGGAACUGAGACACGGUCCAGACUCCUACGGGAGGCAGCAGUGGGGAAUAUUGCACAAUGGGCGCAAGCCUGAUGCAGCCAUGCCGCGUGUGUGAAGAAGGCCUUCGGGUUGUAAAGCACUUUCAGUCGUGAGGAAGGUGGUGUAGUUAAUAGCUGCAUUAUUUGACGUUAGCGACAGAAGAAGCACCGGCUAACUCCGUGCCAGCAGCCGCGGUAAUACGGAGGGUGCGAGCGUUAAUCGGAAUUACUGGGCGUAAAGCGCAUGCAGGUGGUUUGUUAAGUCAGAUGUGAAAGCCCGGGGCUCAACCUCGGAAUUGCAUUUGAAACUGGCAGACUAGAGUACUGUAGAGGGGGGUAGAAUUUCAGGUGUAGCGGUGAAAUGCGUAGAGAUCUGAAGGAAUACCGGUGGCGAAGGCGGCCCCCUGGACAGAUACUGACACUCAGAUGCGAAAGCGUGGGGAGCAAACAGGAUUAGAUACCCUGGUAGUCCACGCCGUAAACGAUGUCUACUUGGAGGUUGUGGCCUUGAGCCGUGGCUUUCGGAGCUAACGCGUUAAGUAGACCGCCUGGGGAGUACGGUCGCAAGAUUAAAACUCAAAUGAAUUGACGGGGGCCCGCACAAGCGGUGGAGCAUGUGGUUUAAUUCGAUGCAACGCGAAGAACCUUACCUACUCUUGACAUCCAGAGAACUUUCCAGAGAUGGAUUGGUGCCUUCGGGAACUCUGAGACAGGUGCUGCAUGGCUGUCGUCAGCUCGUGUUGUGAAAUGUUGGGUUAAGUCCCGCAACGAGCGCAACCCUUAUCCUUGUUUGCCAGCGAGUAAUGUCGGGAACUCCAGGGAGACUGCCGGUGAUAAACCGGAGGAAGGUGGGGACGACGUCAAGUCAUCAUGGCCCUUACGAGUAGGGCUACACACGUGCUACAAUGGCGCAUACAGAGGGCAGCCAACUUGCGAAAGUGAGCGAAUCCCAAAAAGUGCGUCGUAGUCCGGAUUGGAGUCUGCAACUCGACUCCAUGAAGUCGGAAUCGCUAGUAAUC